GCCUGGGUGGCUCAGUUGGUUAAGCGUCUGACUUGGGCUCAGGUCGUGAUCUCACAGUUUGUGGGUUUGAGCCACACGUCAGGCC
rnacentral:tRNA from 1 species